CAACAUGCUGGAAAGUUGUUGCCAGUCAAUCACUUUGGAAGAUUGAUGCCCUGUCAAUCACUGUCCUAGAACGAAGCACUUUUAAAGGAAGACUGCGACUGAGAUUUGAAGCAAACCUUCAACCUGUCAGGUCUAACUUCUUUAUUAUGAGACAAAUGGUUGUCUAAUCUCUUCUGACAAACUUCCAGUGUUGGAGCAUUCACAACUUCUGGAGGUAUUUCCAAGCAUUUUCCUGGCGGUAGAAUAGAGGUGCUUUGUCAUUGCUUUCUUCUGGGAUGGGCUUCUCUGGUUGUCUCUUAUCCAAGGACAUCUUGCCUGACCUUCUUAUCUUCAAAAUCCAGGCAA